rnacentral:rRNA from 1 species
AGCCUGAUCCAGCAAUGCCGCGUGUGUGAAGAAGGCCUUCGGGUUGUAAAGCACUUUUGUCCGGAAAGAAAUCCUUGGCUCUAAUACAGUCGGGGGAUGACGGUACCGGAAGAAUAAGCACCGGCUAACUACGUGCCAGCAGCCGCGGUAAUACGUAGGGUGCAAGCGUUAAUCGGAAUUACUGGGCGUAAAGCGUGCGCAGGCGGUUUGCUAAGACCGAUGUGAAAUCCCCGGGCUCAACCUGGGAACUGCAUUGGUGACUGGCAGGCUAGAGUAUGGCAGAGGGGGGUAGAAUUCCACGUGUAGCAGUGAAAUGCGUAGAGAUGUGGAGGAAUACCGAUGGCGAAGGCAGCCCCCUGGGCCAAUACUGACGCUCAUGCACGAAAGCGUGGGGAGCAAACAGGAUUAGAUACCGC